AUCGCUUCUCGGCCUUUUGGCUAAGAUCAAGUGUAGAUUUUAGGUUACAUACUUUAGCAUCCCUAUUUUAUUUUUAUUUUUUGGAAGAUUUUACUUAUUUAUUUGAGAGAGAGAGGGAGUGAGAACACAGGGGGAGAAGCAGGCUCCCUCCUGAG
rnacentral:snRNA from 1 species